CGGAGGGUGCAAGCGUUAAUCGGAAUUACUGGGCGUAAAGCGCACGCAGGCGGUCUGUCAAGUCGGAUGUGAAAUCCCCGGGCUCAACCUGGGAACUGCAUUCGAAACUGGCAGGCUAGAGUCUUGUAGAGGGGGGUAGAAUUCCAGGUGUAGCGGUGAAAUGCGUAGAGAUCUGGAGGAAUACCGGUGGCGAAGGCGGCCCCCUGGACAAAGACUGACGCUCAGGUGCGAAAGCGUGGGGAGCAAACAGGAUUAGAUACCCUGGUAGUCAAGGGCGAAUUCGC
rnacentral:rRNA from 1 species